rnacentral:rRNA from 1 species
UUUCUGUUUGAUCCUGGCGGAGGACGAACGCUGGCGGCGUGCUUAACACAUGCAAGUCGAACGAGGGUCAUUUGGGAGCUUGCUCCCGGGUGGCUCGAGUGGCGGACGGGUGAGUAACGCGUGAGGAACCUGUCUUACACAGGGGGAUAACGCACCGAAAGGCGUGCUAAUACCGCAUAAGACCACGGUACCGCAUGGUAUUGAGGUCAAAGGAGCAAUCCGGUGUAAGGUGGCCUCGCGUCCCAUUAGGCAGUUGGUGAGGUAACGGCCCACCAAACCGACGAUGGGUAGCCGACCUGAGAGGGUGAUCGGCCACAUUGGAACUGAGACACGGUCCAAACUCCUACGGGAGGCAGCAGUGGGGAAUAUUGGGCAAUGGGCGCAAAGCCUGACCCAGCAACGCCGCGUGAGGGAAGAAGGUUUUCGGAUUGUAAACCUCUGUCCUCAAUGAAAAGCAGGAGAUGGUAAUUGAGGAGGAAGCCCCGGCUAACUACGUGCCAGCAGCCGCGGUAAUACGUAGGGGGCGAGCGUUGUCCGGAAUGAUUGGGCGUAAAGGGCGUGUAGGCGGCCUGGUAAGUCUGGAGUGAAAGUCCCGCUUUCAAGGUGGGAAUUGCUUUGGAUACUGUCAGGCUUGAGUGCAGGAGAGGUUAUCGGAAUUCCCGGUGUAGCGGUGAAAUGCGUAGAGAUCGGGAGGAACACCAGUGGCGAAGGCGGGUAACUGGACUGCAACUGACGCUGAGGCGCGAAAGUGUGGGGAGCAAACAGGAUUAGAUACCCUGGUAGUCCACACUGUAAACG